rnacentral:misc_RNA from 1 species
GAUGAAGAACGUAGCGAAAUGCGAUAAGUAGUGUGAAUUGCAGAAUUCAGUGAAUCGUCGAAUCUUUGAACGCACAUUGCGCCCCUUGGUAUUCCAUGGGGCAUGCCUGUUCGAGCGUCAUCUACACCCUCAAGCUCUGCUUGGUGUUGGGCGUCUGUCCCGCCCCCGCGCGUGGACUCGCCCCAAAUCCAUUGGCAGCGUUCCUUGCCCCCUCUCGUGCAGCACAUUGCGCUUCUCGAGGGCGGCUCCGGGACGCGAUCCAGCAAGAUGACCACCGUCUUUGACCUCGGAUCAGGUAGGGAUACCCGCUGAACUUAAGCAUAUCAAUAAGCGGAGGA